UGAGAACUUUGAAGACUGAAGCGGAGAAAGGUUCCAUGUGAACAGCAAUUGGACAUGGGUUAGUCGAUCCUAAGGCUCAGAGUAACUCCGUUAUAAGGCGGGCUUUUUUCGGAAAGCCCCGGUGGCCGAAAGGGAAGAAGGUUAAAAUUCCUUCACCUGGACGUGGAUAACGAGUGGUAACACAAGCAAAACUGGAGACGUCGGCUGGAGUCCCGGGAAGAGUUCUCUUUUCUU
rnacentral:rRNA from 12 species